rnacentral:lncRNA from 1 species
UUAAUUAAUUUGCUCCACCGGCAGCCAAAAUUUAGCUAGCGAUUAGCAAACAGAAUUUAUACGUAUUCCUUGAACAAAAACUGACAUACAUAAGGGAAUUCAUAUAUAGAAGACCAAAUUAAGUAAUUAACCUAUUUUUGUAUGGAAAUUUUAACAUAUAUGCUAAACGGAAACAGUUUAUACAUAAGUAAACUUAAAGUACAUAUAUACUGAAAGGCAAUAGGUACUAAUUUGGGAUUCCAUCUAGAUACAGAAAAUACCUAGAAAAUUAGUUACAAAUCAGAACGAGCUUAGGUUUUGUGUAGUAUAUUCUAGCCCGUCACUUAUUUUAGGAUCAAAUAUAUAUUCAUCACCCUGGACCAGUAGUACGAAUUUCAUGUUGAUGAUCGAUGAUUAGAAAUGAUCGAUGGUGUCGCAUAACCACCAUCAUCUGGAGACGGAGUUGGUAAAAGGAUGUAAUAUUGUAGAUGAACAGGAAUCAUCCAACUUGCACUCAGUUCUUUGUUGCCGAUGACUUUGCGCAGUAAUGAUUCUCUCGUCACUGACAUAUAAUUAAACAGAUGUAUUAUCUUCAAUACUAAAGUUUAAUUCCUGACGUAAAAAAACAAAAGAAGAGGGGCCAUAUAUAUAGGUAGAUAUAUCAUAUAUAGUAGAAACAUCAUUGAAAUGUAACCAUGUAUUCGAUCGUAAACAUACAUGGAUGUGUAAAUUUACCUGCAGUUAGAGGCCUUGCUUGAGCAACACUGGUGGUGUAACUCCCAACGAUAGCAAACAUAACCAUAAGAAGGAACAAGAGGCAUCUCCUUGUUGAACAAGUCAUGUUGGUUAAUGAUAUUUGAGCCAAGUGCAAUUAAGCUAUUUAUAUAGAAAUACUACUUAUGGCAGGAAGUUUCAUUAAUUAAUCAAAUCCAAAAAUUAAGCUUGUAGCUAGCUAGCCAUGAUUAGGGUAUAGAUUAAUUUAUAAAGAAUUCCAGUUCAAAAUUUACAACUAUAUAUAGUCAAGUACUCGUUUUUCUUGAUGGACGACUUGUUUCACUAUCUGAUCGAUAUGCAUGGUAAUUAAGCAUGCAUGUUAGAAUUUUCAAUUUUGUCAUUUUCAGCAGGUCGUCGUCUCUUCUGCGUAGAAUACAUAGUAAAACCUUGAUAAUUUGAUAUUCGAUAAUUAAUUAAUAACCUCACUAAAAUAAUAAUUUUUUCCGGUCCCGAGUUGGAGACAACGUGCUAAAUUAAUAAUUCGUUAAAUUUAUAAGAUAAUACAAAUACAAGAAUUCACAUAGACCCUAAUGAAUAUAUAAAUUAAUAAUUCUUUAACACACAUAAUUAAUUAUUCAUUUAUGAAGAUUUCAUAAAGAAUGACUCAAUUGUGACUUGUUUCUUCUUGAAAAUUGAGUUCACCUUGAUUGCUUGAUCGUAUUUGAUAUCAUCCCUUGACUCACUCCCAGGUUGAACUUUUCUAAAACACACUGUUGCAUGCUUUUGAGUGCUGCAUGGAUUAUCUUUGAUGUACUCGCACAAUGCUUUAAGCAUUUUAUCCGUUAUCAUCAAUUUUUUUUACUCAUUAGAGAUGAGAAGCCAUUUUUGUGUUUCUAAUGUGAUAUGUGACUAUGGUUUUGUUUAUUUAAUGUUCAUCCAAUGAACUAACAUAGUACUUCCAAACCAACAUUGUACGUUGAAAAUGUUGUACAUCAAAUAAAGUAGCAUAUUGAAUAACGUAAUAAAUUCGACAAUAUAGACAUUGAACAAUGUACAACAAUAUUAUUUUUGUUGAAAAAAUAAAAAGUCAUAUUUAAAAAUUUAAUAAUAUUUUGAUAAAUUAAUAAGUUAUUAAAUAAUCGUUAAAUUAAUAAUUUAUUAAUUUAAAAAUUGAUUAAUACCUCACUAAUUAAUAAAUUUUACCGGUUCUGACUUUAUUAAUUGAAUUGAAAUUUGUUUAGUCCUUAUGGUUUGAAGUCGACAUCUGUUUAGUUCUUAUGGUUUUAUUUUAAUCUGAAUGGUCCUUAAAGUCACAAUUUUUCAUCCAAAUGGUGAUUUACGUCAAUUUUCUCAGUUAAAUUGCUGACGUGACUCAGGACCAUUUGGAUGAAAAAUUGUGACUUUAAGGAUCAUUUAAAUUAAAAUAAAACCACAAGAACUAAACAGAUUAAAAAUUAUGACUUUAAGGACCAUUCAGAUUAAAAUAAAACCAAAAAGACUAAACAGAUGUCGACUUCAAACCACAAAGACUAUACAGUAUUUUACCCUUAUGAAGGUUUUACUGUAUAUUGACACGGGUAUCUGAGAGUUAUCGAUCACAAAGGCUCGGGAGUAGUAAUGUUUAAUUAGGAAUAUAUAAUCCGAAACAUUAAUCUUCUAGAAUACAUGUAGGAUAUCAUGUUAGCUAAAGUCCUCAAGUCGUUGCCCUAAAAAACAAAUCUGCCGGCCACUUGAUAUAAUAUACAGAUAGAGCUACCAAGGUUUUGGCACAUUUCCGUUGCAGUUCAGUUGGGAAGAUCCUUCAUAAUUAGGUAGCAAAUGAGCACCGAGGUAGAAUGGGAAAAUGACACGAGGAAUCUUGUUAAUCUUCUUGUUUUUCGACAAUGAAUCUUGAUAAUCUUCACAUUGUACGUUGGUUUGGUAUGAUUCGCGUUUGGAUCAAAUCCAAUGCAAUUUACGGUAUCUGGUAAAAUGAUAAUGCAUAUGAAAUGAUGGAAAUAAGUUCAUCGCGCAUUUACUUUGUCCUCGACAGAGGCGGAACUGUGUUUGAGUCUGGGAGGGUUUAGACCCCUGCUAGCUUUUGCAUACCUCCUUCAUUAGCUAACUAAAUUACCUUAACAAUUACAAUUAUACUAUAUUUGAACCCCUAUUAGAUAACAUUUGGAAGAUUCUUUUUCUUUUGAUAUGAUAUUUUGGAUACUCUUUCUCUUUUAAUUUGAUAUUGGAACGAAUAAAUUCAUUUAAUCUUAACUUUGGUGCUUGAUUGAUAUUCAAACAUUGAAUUUUGAUCUAUAAAAAGCUCAAAAAACAUUACUUUAUGUUAAUAAUUUGUUCAUUUUACAUUUCAAUUUGAUGUUUACGAUGACAAAAAAUAAUUUUUAUAUUUAGACCCCUCGUAACUCUUAAUCCUGGCUCCGCCCCUGGUCCUCGAUACUCAGGAGAAUUAUUUCUGGCUCCCACAGUGGAGUCAAUCCCUCAUGUGUCCGAUCCCAACGAAACCCCCCUUGUGUAGGGUGGUUCCAGGAAGCAAGGAAUAAGUUAGGGAAACCUAACAUGUCAUGUUUUGAGGCGAACAUCUAUGGUUUAUUAAUUGGAAAUCAGAAACAACAAAAUUAGAACUUCCAUAUUCGAUAUAUGUUUCUUCUCAUUGGUGCAUGUUUUUAUUAUUUGUCCUUUCACUUCACUCACCAACUCCAUAGAAACUACAGUUAGUGGCGGAGCUAGAAUUUGAACCUUGGAGGGGGGGGGUCCAAACAUUAUAGCAUAAGUGUAUAUUAAAAUUUUAUAAAAAGUUAUCUGACUCGAUUUUUAAUUUGAUCAUCUUUAAAUGAAGCAAAAUUUUAUUGUAUACAUCUCAUAAACUUAUGCAACAUUAAAAACAUUAAAAGUGUAUGAAUGAAGAAAGUAGUAAUUUACGCAUCACUUAAUAUUUCAUAUUUUUUGUUUUGGUAAAUUCAUUAGUUUUCUUGUUUACUAAUUAAAAGAAAUCAAUUAUCUUAACAAUUUCGAUUGGUAAGACAUAAAGACCAAUUGAUUCUAUAAUUACAUUUCUUAAUAUAAUUGAUAGGUAGAAAAUUUUUUUUGUGGGGGGGGGGGGGGGAGGUUAAGAGAAAAUUACAUACAACGAACUAACCAAAUUUAAAAUACAAAAACCCACUUUCAUUAAUUUUUAUACAAUUUAGGACAUGAGCUAGCCCAAACCCAAAACUAAUAGCAUCAAGCCUGAUCCGGAUUUUACUUAUCAAAUGACCAUAAUGCCCUCACGUCCCCAUCUUUUCUCUUUCUCUCAUCAUCAUCAUCAACGAUUGAACAAAAAAUGAAGACAACGGCGACGGCGACGGCUAGACACUGACAAUGUGGGAUACCGACAAUGAACGUUGAUGAAGCUUGGAUGUGAACGGCGUCGUCGUCUCUUUGAUGACGCUCAGAUCCAUCCCGAUUCUUCUGACGCUCAGAUCCAUCCCGAUUCUUCCGACGCUCGGCCACAAUCUGAAUCGGGCCGAUCCAGAUACUCGACGACCACGACGACUGCUACUGAAUCAAAGCUCGAUCUCGUCUCGCCCAUUCCGAGGCCGACGAGUGCCACCGCCUAAUCCAACGGCAGCUCACUUCUCUCUACGCAUUCCUCCGUUUGGUUCCCGCAAUGAUUCUCUGAUUCUGACUACAUGUACUGCUUUUGUGCUUUUUCUUCGUUUAUUGCGGUGUUUUGGUUCGGAAAUUGAAGCUUCAAUUAAUAUUAGGAUCUGUGGAACUAGACGGGAUUUUGUUUUGCAUUGUGCUUUAGUAUUAGCAAUUGAUGGAUCUAGAUAAGUAUGAGUCAUACUACUGUCCAUUCGGUAGUAGCAGUUGCAUGCUAUUCAGUCGUCAGUAGUAGAAGGUUUUCAAUCGCGAUAGUAGCAGCUUCGGUAGUAGAAGGUUUUCAAUCGCGACUGUGCGGUUACCAAGAAUUGCCGAAUUUUUUUUUGCAAUAGCUCCGGUACUAGCACCUUCCUACACGGCAAUAGCACAUCUUCGGUCGACACGGCAGUACCACGUUUCUCGUUGACACGGCAGUAGCACGUCUGCGGUCGACACGGUAGUAGCACGUCUCUAGUCUCGACACGGCAGUAGCACGUCUCCGGUUGACACGGCAGUAGCACGUCUCCGGUCGACACGGCAGUAGCACGUCUCCGGUCGACACGGCAGUAGCACGUCUUACGUCGACACUGCAGUAGCACGUCUCACGUCGACACGGCAGUAGCACGUCUCAUGUCGACACGGCAGUAGCACGUCCACAAUAAUAGUAGAAUAUGUAAUGAAUGGUAGUUUGGUAAAAUAUGUAGUGACAGAUGAAAUGUGGACAUUAGUUUAUCCUAAUUUGUUAAUUUUUGUCCUUAAAUAUGUAAGAUACUAUGUAAAAGAUGUAUUUAUAAACUCAAAUUUGGCCAGUAACUAAUAAGUAGUUUAGUAGGGGCUUAAUGAUAUAAUUAAACAGAUUUUUAAUGAUAUUUAGCUAAUUAAGCACCUAAACUUCCGACUUUUGAAAAUCCAAGGGGGUUCAGACCCCUUCGAGCCUGAUAAAGCUCUGCCCCUGACUACAGUGUAUGCUAGAUUUAUUCCGUAGUAUAUGGAGUGCAGCGAAAUCUCUACCAGCCCAGUAUUCCAUCAUACUCUACCAAGAAAAGUAUCGAAUUGUGGAAGAACAAUUGAGGACGUGAUCCCUCGUCUCUCACUCUCUUGCUCCCUGAACUUGAUUACAAAGAUCCUUUCACUGUCCUCAGAAAUCAUAACGUUGUCUUUCUGACCUCAAAUGCCAGAAAUCCCCACUAACAAUAUUGAAUGUAGCAACAAAAGCUUUUGAGAGAGAAAUCGACCACACACAAAGAAAUCUGGAUAUUGGACUGCGUCUUCGUCGCCAUACUUGACCUAAGUCUUGGAUUCUCAAUAGUCUAUUAUAUUAAAAACUAAUUAAUAAAUGACAAGAGAAAAGAGACAAAAGACAAUUGACAAGAGAUGUUUUAGUUGUAUCAUAUGGACAUAUUUGUGAUUAUCUAAGUUAUAGUUUGAGAUUUUUUUUGUUCGAGAUCAUACGGUUUAAUAAAGUCUAACUUUGUAGGCCUAAAGAUUAAUCUGUGUGAGAGAUAUGUUAGAACAUAUACUUCAUCCAUCCUCCUGUUGAACCCUUUGACAUUUCAAGCUUAGUUUCUAUAGGUUGGGGCAAUCUAUAUAUAUUACACUUUUUGAAACAAGAUAUGCCCCUUCUGACACCAAAAUGGUUUUCAAUAUUAUUAAUCUCCUUCCAAAUCUUGUCUUGAUUUGGACAAGACUACUCCAGGUACAAAUUUGUCGACCACCCUUAUAUGCUCCCACCAAAGUAUCUACCCACUUAAUCAAUUGACACAUGUUUAUUUUAUUAUUAAGAAUAAAGUUAAACCAUUUGAAGAGACAUGUGUCAAUAGACUAAGAAGGUGAGCACUUUGGUGGGCAAAUAGAGGUGGUCGGAAAAUUUGUAUCCAACUACUCCACUCCAUGCCGACAAAAAAGCUUUUAUCCCCAUGUUUUUAUUUUUUUAAAUAUAUAUUUCAAAUUAAUGUAAGAGGAGGAAAGAAGUUUUUACCUGUCCCAAUUUGGACAGAUUUACUAGUCACGCUUCUAAUUUUAUUUGUAUCAUUUCAUUCUCUUGAAAUCCUUCCAUACAAGCAACAAGUCAAAACCUUCGUAUAAUUUAAUACUUGAAAUUAUGAGAGCUUUUUUUUUUUUUUUUUUUAAGAAAAAUUGAUUCGACUUGCUCAAUUUUGACCUCAAAAUUGCAGUAUCUCUCUUGGCUCUUAAAGAUGAAUUGGAAAUUUAUAUAUCUGACAUGCAGAGCCAAAAUCUGUUUAAAGAACUUAAAGAAAUUAUUAAGCUUGGAGAAAAAUGGUUGAGACACAAAAAGAGACUUGGUUUAUCCGGUAGUUUACUUUGCUCAUAACAUUAAUUGACGUUGAUUCUUCCAGUUGUAACUGUUGUCGUAGAAGGAGCAUUUUAGCCAUGAAAAUUAUAAAAAGUGAUUUGUGAAACCGAAUGGGAGACAUGUUAAUGAAUGACAACAUGAUUACAUAUAUCAAGAAACAUAUAUUUAAUGAUGUUGAUAAUGAAACCAUCAUGAAAAGAUUUCAAAAUAUGAGCGAUCAUCGUGGACAAUUAUAAUUGCUUUAAGGAGACUUACUCUACCUUUUCAAUUACUGAUGUAAUAAUUUAAAUUUUUUUAUGUCAUUCAAUGAAGAUUAUUCGUUUAGUAUUCUUGUUUAAACUCUGACCCUUCUAAUGAUAGUUCAUGGCUACGUCACUGUUGGCCACCAAGAAUAUAUUGGAUUUAACUCUAAUAAACGAUGGUGGGAUUCGAACCUAGGUAUAUGAGUUCCACACCUAGACCAUUAUGAACUCAAAUGCCUGUGGUGGUUAUCGUUUGGGAUUCUUCGAUUAUAUAUUUGUGUGAUUUACUAAUUUAUGUUGUCAAUUAAUUUGCGCCGCCGGCAGCUAAAAGCUAGCGAUUUGCAAACAAAAUUUGAACGAAUUCCUUGUACAAAAAUAACUGACAUGCCCGCAUAAGGAAAUUCAUAUAUAGAAGACCACAUUGAGUUGGAUGGAAAAUCUAACGUGAUAAUUAAGUGGAAACAGUUUAUACAUAAGUAAAUACACACAAUACAUACUGAAAGGCAGUGUAGGUACUAAUUUGGAAUUCAAUCUAGAUACAGAGAAUUAGUUACAAAUCAGAACGAGCUUAGAUUUUUUGUAGUAUAUUUUUGUCCUGCCGUUGCUUAUUUUAGGAUCAAAUAUUCGUCACCCUCAGUAGCUAGUACGAAUUCCAUGUUGAUGUUGACUAGAAAUGAUUGAUGGUGUCCAAACACCAGGAUCAACUGGAGUUGGAGUUGGUAAAAGGAUGGAAUGUUGUUGAUAUUCAGGGAUCCAACUUGCACUCAGUUCUUUGUUGCCAAUGACUGCGUAGUAAUGAUUCUCUCGUCACUGACAUAUAAUUAAACAGAUUUAUUAUCUUCAAUACUCAAGUUUAAUUCGUGACGUAAAAAAACGAAAGAAGAGGGGCCAUAUAUAUGUAGAUAUAUAGUAGAAACAUCAUUGAAAUGUAGAGGCCUGAAAUGUAACCAUGUAUUCGAUCGUAAGCGUAUAUGGAUGUGUAAUUUACCUGCAGUUAGAGGCCUUGCUUGAGCAACACUGGUGGUGUAACUCCCAACGAUAGCAAACAUAACCAUAAGAAGGAACAAGAGGCAUCUCCUUGUUGAACAAGUCAUGUUGUUUAAUGAUACUUGAGCCAAGUGCAAUUAAGCUAUUU